UCUGAGUUGACCCCGGCAGUCUCCUAUGAGUCCCCGGCCGAACCGCUGGCAACAUAGGAUAAGGGUUGCGCUCGUUGCGGGACUUAACCCAACAUCUCACGACACGAGCUGACGACAGCCAUGCACCACCUGUGCAGGGCCCCGAAGGACACCGUAUCUCUACGGCUUUUCCCUGCAUGUCAAGCCCAGGUAAGGUUCUUCGCGUUGCUUCGAAUUAAGCCACAUGCUCCGCCGCUUGUGCGGGUCCCCGUCAAUUCCUUUGAGUUUUAGCCUUGCGGCCGUAGUCCCCAGGCGGAGCACUUAUCGCGUUGGCUUCGGCACCGAGGGGGUCGAUACCCCCGACACCUAGUGCUCAUCGUUUACGGCGUGGACUAC
rnacentral:misc_RNA from 1 species